UCCGUUUACUAACGUUGCCACACUCCAGGUGGAACGACCAGUUACACCAGGCCUGCCUGUCUACCCGUCAGCCCAAAUUUGACCCUUGUGUUCCACCAAGCGGCUAUGACCAGUGACAGCUCAUCCUCAGUUAGAAAGGCUCCCAUUACCUCAUGGAUCCGGACUUCUUAUCGCUCUUCUGCGACGACCCCUUCGGACAAAGAUUCCAACCUCUAUUUACACUCCCCUUGUUCGUAUCUUGAGGAUUACCAAGGAAAUCGAGCUUCACAAGUGAGGUUCUUGGGAUUCUGGAUAGAC